GUGGGGGCGACGGCUCCGCUCUGCCCCUGCAGCAGCGAGGCGGGGAUCCUGUACCUGGCGGGAGUCGGAGGAGAGGCUGAUCCCAUGAGCCAUCCUUCUUCCACACUAAUGACAAAGUCCUUUCGCUUUGGAAUUCUCUUCUGUAUUGGCAUUUGGGGCUGCUGUGCUCUUUAUGCCCUUGAGUGGAGGGUGCAAGGAUAUGUAGAGUGCAUGCCUGGCCCCAACAGACACUACUGGCCAAAAAAAAUCCAAUCUUGGGCAGCGGGAGCAUAUUCAUACCUAGAAUGGGAUCCACAUGGAGAAAUCAUCUAGAACAACAACAGGUCCUGUAAGAUCAUUCAUGAAGAUGUUGAACAGCACAGGUCCCAGUAUGGAUCACUGUGGGAC